rnacentral:rRNA from 1 species
GAACGGGGAUUUUGUUUCGGCAGAAUCCUAGUGGCGAACGGGUGAGUAACGCGUAGGCAACCUGCCCCCCGGCCGGGGACAACACGCCGAAAGGUGUGCUAAUACUUGAUACGAAGCGAGCACCGCUUGGUGCUUGUUUGAAAGACGGCCUCUAUUUAUACCCUGUCGCCGGUUUUUUUUCCUGCGUCCUAUUAGCUGGUUUUUCCCUUUUAACGGCCCACCAAGGCGACGAUCGGUAUCCGGUCUGAAAGGAUGGACGGGCCCCUUGGGACUGAAACCUGUCCAAACCCCCACGGGAGGCGCUUGGGGAAUAUUGGCCAAUGGGCGAGAG